UCACAGGAGAAGCAAAUGAGAUAAAAAUGUUUUCCUUUUUCUCUGAGGCUUCUCAGCUUCUCAGGAGAAAAAUCCUGGCAAAGGGAUUUUUCAGAAAAUAUGAAUGUGACAGGGACUGACUUGAUGAAGAGCCUAAAAAACAACUAGAAGAGUGAGACUAAUAAUUGAGGAUGUUGCACAAGAAUGGGAAAUCCUGUAUCUAAAGAAAAAGUUACACCUGAAACUCAAAUUGAUAAACUGUGUGGAUAAAUGGGGAACUACCUUUCCUCUAGAAGGAUUGUGCAGGACAGGAACUGGCUGGAAAAGGAAACUGCAGAAGGAUGCAAUCCUUCUGGAACAGGCUGCUCCUGCAUGGAUCGACAAGGGGUAAAAAGUUCUACCAGCAAACUUGCUCCAGUGUGAACUUCUCUACUGUUCCACAGGAGAAGGUCUGCCCAGCUGCAAGCAUGGAUAAAUGUCCAGCUGAGGGUUGGGUUCUGAGCAGAAGUUGACUGCUUUGCCAUGUGGGGGCUGGCCACCUCCCUUGAUGACCAACAAACUCACAGAUCUACUGCCACCAUUUUCCUGGGGUACAUGGCAUUUGUUUCAUGGUGGACACAGUCACCUGGGGAAAGAGCCUUGCUGUGUCUUGGCACAAAAAACAAUGAGGUGUGUUUCCACAUAGCCACGAGCAGAAGUUUGGAGCAUCAAAGUACAUCAAAAUAGCUUGCAGCUGGAGAGGUCAUGCUAGAGCUGUGCUGUGGAGCUCAGACGUGAUUGUCAACCACCCAGGCUGACCUUCAGCAUACAGACAUAGCCCAGAUAGCUAAUAAAUCAAAUAAACUCUCUAUGCCAUCUGAAGCAUCCUAAUCCCAGGUUUUCUGUGCCUUUUCCUUUUUUAUUUUAAAAGCAUUUUUGUGACUAGUUAGUUUUGCUCUCUGAGUUUGCUGAACCACUGCUUCAACCACUACUUCACCCUGUAUCAUAUGCAUUGUAUUUUUCUUACAUGCUCUGCCUGUAACUAUGUGCAGGAGAAAAUAUCCAUCUGUUAAAGGCUGAGGUAUUAGACAGAGGGAGAGACAGUUUUAAAUAGGUAUUACAGGCAUGUCAAAUUAAGUUAAACAGAGAUGAUUAGACAAAAAAAAGUCCCAGGAAAAUCUGGGUGACAUUUUAUUCUUGUCAAAACAUGAAAAAUUGUAAGAGGAGGAGUGGAAGAAAAAGGCUGUUUAAUCUCAGAAUCUCCCAUUCUAGUUAGAUAGCUGCUGUACUCUCAAAAUACAAUGAUUUAACCAUGACAUGAAGAUGAUGAUGUGCAAUCGACUGUAUCAACAGUUUUGCAGAUGUUUAUUUGAAGUUUAAUGUUAAUGAAAUGCAGAGAUGUGCCUUGUAGGUUCUUGGUUUAGUUUUUGGGUUUUUAUUUUGGUUUGUUUUUUUUCUCUCCUCAAGUCCCAGUUUUCA